GUGUCCACUUUGGCAGCAUAUAUACUAAAACUGGAACCAUAUGAAGAAGACUGGCAUGGCCCCUGCGCAAGGAUGACACGCAAAUUUGUGAAGCAUUACAUAUUUUU
ensembl:snRNA U6 U6 spliceosomal RNA